UACGUAGGCAGCAAGCGUUGUUCGGAAUUACUGGGCGUAAAGCGUGCGCAGGCGGUUCUAUAAGACAGAUGUGAAAUCCCCGGGCUCAACCUGGGAACUGCAUUUGUGACUGUAGAGCUGGAGUACGGCAGAGGGGGAUGGAAUUCCGCGUGUAGCAGUGAAAUGCGUAGAUAUGCGGAGGAACACCGAUGGCGAAGGCAAUCCCCUGGGCCUGUACUGACGCUCAUGCACGAAAGCGUGGGGAGCAAACAGG
rnacentral:rRNA from 1 species